rnacentral:rRNA from 1 species
CGGCAACAGCUCAAAUUUGAAAUCUGGCCCUUGUGGUCCGAGUUGUAAUUUGUAGAGGAUGCUUUUGGUUAGGUGCCUUCCGAGUUCCCUGGAACGGGACGCCAUAGAGGGUGAGAGCCCCGUCUGGUUGGAUACCGAGCCUCUGUAAAGCUCCUUCGACGAGUCGAGUAGUUUGGGAAUGCUGCUCUAAAUGGGAGGUAUAUGUCUUCUAAAGCUAAAUACCGGCCAGAGACCGAUAGCGCACAAGUAGAGUGAUCGAAAGAUGAAAAGCACUUUGAAAAGAGGGUUAAAAAGUACGUGAAAUUGUUGAAAGGGAAGCGCUUGUGACCAGACUUGGGCCCGGUCAAUCAUCCAGGGUUCUCCCUGGUGCACUUGGCCGGCCCAGGCCAGCAUCAGUUUGUCGCGGGGGAUAAAGGCGUCGGGAAUGUGGCUCCCCCGGGAGUGUUAUAGCCCUUCGUGUAAUACCCUGCUUCGGACUGAGGUUCGCGCAUCUGCAAGGAUGCUGGCGUAAUGGUCAUCAGCGACCCGUCUUGAAACACGGACCAAGGAGUCGUCUUCGUAUGCGAGUGUUCGGGUGUCAAACCCCUACGCGUAAUGAAAGUGAACGCAGGUGAGAGCUUCGGCGCAUCAUCGACCGAUCCUGAUGUUCUCGGAUGGAUUUGAGUAAGAGCAUACGGGGCCGGACCCGAAAGAAGGUGAACUAUGCCUGUAUAGGGUGAAGCCAGAGGAAACUCUGGUGGAGGCUCGCAGCGGUUCUGACGUGCAAAUCGAUCGUCAAAUAUGGGCAUGGGGGCGAA